AGGCUCCCAGGACACCUGACAGCCAAGUCCCCACCAGAAAGCUGUGAACAGAGGCUACCAGAAGCAGAAAAGCAAAUACCAUACAUGAUGCCUAUGUUUGAGAACUACAGAGAGGCAGGCUCACUGGUGAAGUUCAAGUGUCAAGGAGAAAAUCCCUUCUGAGACUCUUCAGAUUUUAGGAGGUGUCAGCAUUCCAAGGCCCUGAUAUUAAAGUCUACUGAGAAUAAAACUGGGUCCAGUUGGCAGAACAGCGAAGCAAAUGACAUUUUGGAGACUGGCCUAAUCUGUUGAACAAUUAAAUCAGGCUCUCUUGAAAUUUGUCUUUACAAAUAUUGUCCAUGUUCAAGUCAAUAUAAAAUGUAAAAAUGUGUUACUUUAGAAAUGAAAUGACCUCUAGCAUGAAUUGAAGUAGUUUUUCUGGUCCUUGAGCCACCUUCGUAGAGUUUGUCAUCUGUCACCUGUGACCCUUCCUUUCCCUCCAACCCCUCUGCCCUCAUAUUCAGUUGCUUUGCCCUCCUACCUGACUUUCCAUGGAGUGACUCCUCACUAGAAUUAAUUGCCCAUUUUGAUCCUCUUUCCACACUAGGGUCAGAGGGUUAAUAUAUAUGUUCUGUGGCUUGCUUGUAAUUCUUUGGAGUUAGAUAAAAAGAGGCAGAUGCAGACACAGAAAGGCAAGGGGACUGAUGAGGAGACAACAAGGUCAUUGAAGUCUCCUAACAAGCAGACUGUCUUUGUCACUGGGGAGUAAGAGUGUUUCCCAUGAAAAUGUCAGUUUUCAUGGAAGCAGGUUUAUGAAGGAGUAAAGACCAAAAUGGUCCUGCUUGUUCUUUUAAAGAAAUGACACACAAGGUGACAUGCAGAGAAUAUGUCUUGGGAUAUUAUAUAUGUUGUAUCAGAUGAAGUGGGAAGAAGAAAACUAGAGUGGAGAGGGAGUUAAGAUGUGGAAGAGGAGAACGAGGAAAGUCAGAGAUAAAAAAGGGGCAUUAAAAAAUAAGAUGGUUCUUGAGAGACCCCAAGUCAACAUUUUUAGACCCCUAGCAACUUGCCCAGCACAGAGUAACUUGUUCUUCUGCCCUCUCCUGAAAAACCGGCGACUUCAAGAUAAUCUUAAAAGAUAACACUCCUUGAUCCAGGAACUAGCUCACCACAUUCCUGCUCAAUGUUUAACUGUACAAAGCCCAAAGAAUGUUUGCUUGAGAUAAACUAUAACUUUCCCUUUAAGUCAUGAGCUAUCACUUAACUUCCCCAUCCUUUAUGGUGUUCACCUAACUUCCCCAUCCUUUAUGGUGUUUGCCUAACUCCCCAAUUCUCUAUGGUUUUUCUCUUUUAAACCCCCACCAACUACAACUACUGGGGGUUAAACUCCUCUGCUCCUGUGAGGGUUACGAGCUCAGCCCCAAUGCACUGGUUCCCCUAAUAAACCUCAGGUGCUUGCA